rnacentral:lncRNA from 10 species
CACAGUUUUCCAGAGUCAUAUGACCCUUUUCUAUCCAAUAAAAAAUGUCCUGGAAAGCUCUCCUUUCAUGAUAAGAUUGGCAUAAGAGGAGAGUUACCUGGUGCUGCUUCUUUCCCUGUCUGAAACAUGGAUGAGAUGGCUGGAGCCACAGCAGCCACCCUGCAACAGAAGGCCACCAGCAUGAAGAAGGCUGUCUCCUGCGAGGACCAGAAGUUGAGCCAAGGCACAUGGAACUUACAAUAGCAGAUGGGCAGAAGGAGAACUCCUGAAGCCUCCGAAGGAAGGAAAUCAUUACAGGGCCCUACAGAAGUAGGUCAUGUGCUACAGCUGCUCAUAGUUUAAGAGGAAGAAACAUGGGAUCUCAAACCUGGAACACGACUCUUUCAAAAUGCUUGUGAGCAACCCAAGAAAAACAUCCUCCUGAGGCUUAUCUAAUAACCAUGAUCUCUAAUCGUCUCAAUGUGUGCUCAUGUUUCCUUAGGAGUUUGCACCCACUUCUCAGAGCUAACGAGAUGCCGAAACAGAACACAGAAAAAAGUAAUGAAGGAGAUUUAAUAGUUUGUGUUAAAGCUAAUAUGGUCCAUUAGGGGCUGUCAUUUUUAUAAACAGUGAGGAUACGUUACCCUCUUCUUUGGUGUAAAGUCAUUCCGUGCAGGACCUGUAAACAUUCAGUAAUGAUCUGUAGAACAUGCAUGAACGACAAUUAAAGCACCACUUGAAAAGUCUGUUUUCCUCACAUAUUUGUUUUCUUGCUAAAUAAACUUGUAAAGUUCAUACAUGUGUACGCAUAUGCUUACAUUAUAAAAAAAGUGUGCAUUUCAUUAAGAACAUCUACGAACAGAUAUAAGUGUUUUUGGUUCCCAUUAGCUUGAGAAAUAUCAGAAGUGAUUAGUUAAAUGAGGAGCAUAGGUUCUGUUUUUUAGUGCAUACUAUAAUAAUAAAACAACCACUCUUUUAUGGUAGCUUAGCAAGACAAAAUUAUAGUUCACAAUGUCAUGAAAGGCAUGAUUACAACCUUUGAAAGUUACAAGUAAAAAAGCUUCUAUAAAACCUAUCUGUUGCCAAAAAAUUAUGUUCUACAGUGAUUCAGAUAUAUUUCUGAAAUUUAUUUUUUAAUUGUGGCUGAUACCAA